UACGUAGGGUGCAAGCGUUGUCCGGAAUUAUUGGGCGUAAAGAGCUCGUAGGCGGUCUGUUGCGUCGGCUGUGAAAACCCGGGGCUCAACUCCGGGCCUGCAGCCGAUACGGGCAGACUAGAGUUCGGCAGGGGAGAGUGGAAUUCCUGGUGUAGCGGUGAAAUGCGCAGAUAUCAGGAGGAACACCAGUGGCGAAGGCGGGUCUCUGGGCCGAUACUGACGCUGAGGAGCGAAAGCAUGGGGAGCGAACAGG
rnacentral:rRNA from 1 species